rnacentral:rRNA from 1 species
AACGAACGCUGGCGGCAGGCCUAACACAUGCAAGUCGAACGCCCUAGCAAUAGGGAGUGGCGCACGGGUGCGUAACGCGUGGGAUAUGCCCUUCACUGCGGAAUAACGUUUGGAAACGAACGCUAAUACCGCAUAAUGACUCCGGUCCAAAGAUUUAUCGGUGAAGGAUUAGCCCGCGUUAGAUUAGCUAGUUGGUGAGGUAAUGGCUCACCAAGGCGACGAUCUAUAGCUGGUCUGAGAGGAUGAUCAGCCACACUGGGACUGAGACACGGCCCAGACUCCUACGGGAGGCAGCAGUGAGGAAUAUUGGACAAUGGGCGCAAGCCUGAUCCAGCCAUGCCGCGUGAGUGAAGAAGGCCU